rnacentral:lncRNA from 1 species
AAAAAAUCGCAAACCCUAAUUUCUUGAACCUAGCUCUGAUACCAUGUUGAAUUUGGGAGAAUAACUUCUCUUCUUAUUCAUAGACGUGUAUUACUUAUAUACAAAGAGAGAGAGAGUUCCAUAUAAGGAAAUAAUCUAAAAUUAUGCACCUACCAUAUAUGCACGUAUUGUAUAAAUAUAAGUCUAAACUAAUGCAUAAUUCCAUAACAAUAUGCAAAUUACUAUUUGAGCUUAUAAGUGUAUUUUAUGCACUUAUUUGGGCUUCUAUUCUUGGUUUAUUGCUAAUUGAGUAAAUAUCUAGCUAAUUUAGGUUAAACUACGUUUAUUGUAGGUGAUGCCGUCUUGAAUUUAUUUUGAUGCAGUUUGCAUGUGAAAGGUAUUUUUGAGCUUAAAUUGGAGUUGAUUUAGAACAAUUGAUGUUGAACUGAAUUAUUUAUGAUCAAUUGGUAGAAUAUAGAGCAACCGGAAGAGAUUCACUAGUUGUAAGAGCAAAAUCCAACUUUUGAAAGUUUGGAAACUCAAUUGUAAACUUUAAGAACUUGCAUCAUAUUAAUUUUAGAUGAUCGUUUAAUGUGGAGGAUCAAACGGUGAGGAUAUGAAGAUGAGAGACCCAAGAUGCAACCAUUUAAGGGCUCGAGUUGAAUAAAAGAAAAAAUUCAGGCACCACCUUGGAAGAAAGGCUAAAGAGGCAAGCUUGCGAUCACGAAUUCCAAAAAACAAAAUGACUUGCCCUUGUGAUUGAAAUAGGUAAAACCAUGUAAUCACAUAUGUUUAAAUCGACUAGACGAUUUUGUUUCCUUAUUCAUUUUGACAACAUCUUAUAAGGCAAUUAGGGCACCAUUUCUGAUCUGAUUCUUUAGCUAUAAAUAUAUAUUUCCAUUUGCAACUCAAAAGAGAAUUUAGGAGGCUUGGUAUGUAUAAGAUACAUAUUUAAGAAGUCAAUAAGAGAAGUAAAUACUUAUUUUCUCAAAAUGUUGAUUGGGGGAGAGAUCUAUAGUAUCAAAGGGACCAAUCCCCAUAUUCCAAUCUCAUUAAAUGC